GCGCGGGUGAGGCCGCCGUAAGCCAACACCCCGCGCCGGGAUAGAAAAAAACGGCUACGCCUGUAGAAAACCCGGUUUUCGCCUUACAGGACGCGGGUUCGAUUCCCGCCGCCUCCAUUU
rnacentral:tmRNA from 1 species